rnacentral:lncRNA from 1 species
UUGCAUCAGCCUUUACAGUUACAAGAUAUAACUUGCAAUUUCUUUUUUAGUGUCCUAUCUUGCCGCAGUGAAAGUAGAUACCAUGUUCGGAGACUUUCUUCCCCUUCUUUUUUAUCUUGCCACAUUUAGGGUUCAGUGCUUUCUUUGAAUUCUUAAAGCUUGAUUUUUUCUUAGAGGUUUUACUCACAAGACAAAGUAGAGCUUUUUCUUUCUUUAUAUGGCUCUCAGCUGUCUUGAGCAUAUUCAACAGUUCAGAUAAGGAGGUAUUUAGUUUGUUCAUAUGAUAGUUCAUGACAAACUGAGCGAAUGAUUCGGGAAG